rnacentral:rRNA from 1 species
UAAGUAAGCGGAGGAUAAGAAACUAAAUAGGAUUCCCUCAGUAAUGGCGAAUGAACAGGGAUGAGCUCAGCAUGGAAAUCGGGGCCUGUGGCCUUGAAUUGUAGUCUCGAGAAGCAUUGCCAACGGAGGCGCAGAUGUAAGCCUCUUGGAAAAGAGCAUCGACGAGGGUGAGAGUCCCGUUUGUCAUCUGCAGUCCCCCGUGCACGGUGUGCUUUCUAAAGAGUCACGUUCCUCGGGAUUGGAGCGCAAAGUGGGUGGUAAAUUUCAUCUAAAGCUAAAUAUAGGUUCGAGACCGAUAGCAAACAAGUACCAUGAGGGAAAGGUGAAAAGGACUUUGAAAAGAGAGUUAAAAGUGCCUGAAAUUGCUGAAAGGGAAGCGAAUGGAACCAGUGUUGCUUGGCAAGAUUGGUGCGUGCUAAUGUGAUUGGCUGCUGCUUCAGCGCAAGCGUGGCAGUGGUUUUUGAUCAGGACGUGCGUGUUGUUUCUUGCCUUGUGUGUCAACGUCAGUUCUCAAUCGAGGAAAACGCCAGGGAAAUGGGAGCCUGGGUCCGCUUGGGUGAACGUCCUUGGUUGAACUCAUUUGUGAACUGUUUCUUGCGUGUCUGGUUGCAGUGCUCUCUGUCCCUGGGACUCCAAUGUGGGCUUCGGUCUGCUUGGGCGUCUUGGGCGACUGGGGUAUCUCCCUGACACAACGACGAUGACUAAAUGGUUCUAUUCGACCCG